rnacentral:rRNA from 1 species
AAGUCAUCCUCAGUUCGGACUGGGGUCUGCAACCCGACCCCACGAAGCUGGAUUCGCUAGUAAUCGCGCAUCAGCCAUGGCGCGGUGAAUACGUUCCCGGGCCUUGUACACACCGCCCGUCAAGCCAUGAAAGCCCGGGGGGCGCCUGAAGUCCGUGACCGCGAGGGUCGGCCUAGGGUGAAACCGGUGAUUGGGGCUAAGUCGUAACAAGGUAAC